rnacentral:rRNA from 1 species
CGAGCACGCGCGUGUGGCAUAUCAAUAAGCGGAGGAAAAGAAACUAACAAGGAUUCCCUUAGUAACGGCGAGUGAAGCGGGAAGAGCUCAAAUUUGAAAUCUUCAAGGGUUCUACCUUGACGAAUUGUAGUUUAUAAGAAGUGUUUUCUGUUAGUAGAGGUGGCAAAAGUUCUUUGGAAUAGGACAUCAUAGAGGGUGAGAAUCCCGUAUUUGGUCAUUCUUUCUAGCUUUGUGAUACACUUUCAACGAGUCGGAUUGUUUGGGAAUGCAGUCCAAAAUGGGUGGUAAAUUUCAUCUAAAGCUAAAUAUUGGCGAGAGACCGAUAGCGAACAAGUACCGUGAGGGAAAGAUGAAAAGAACUUUGAAAAGAGAGUUAAACAGUACGUGAAAUUGUCAAAAGGGAAGCGUUUGACACCAGUGUUGUUUUUCCGAAAAUCAAUUACGAAUGUUUUGUUUUUGAGAAGUUAUGACUUCAUCGGCUUGCUUCUCUCUUUACGAAACUUUCUUAAUGCACUUUUCGGUUAACAAGUCAACAUCAAUUUCUUUUGUUGUAAAAGGGUAUGAGGAAGGUGGCUUUCUUUUCGGAGAAAGUGUUUAUAGCCUUGUGCCUCUGCAAUCGGAGAGAUUGAGGUCUGCAGCGUAGAUCCUUCGGGGUUAGAUACAUUUGUGCUAAGUUAUAGCUUUUCAUAGACAACUUGUUGACUAUGUUUAGUCUUGUAGCUUACUCGCUUAUGCUAUUUUACCUACGCUUAGGAUGUUGAUGUGAUACUGCGAGCA